UACGUAGGGGGCAAGCGUUAUCCGGAUUUACUGGGUGUAAAGGGAGCGUAGACGGAAUGGCAAGUCUGAAGUGAAAUCCUGCGGCUUAACUGCAGAAUUGCUUUGGAAACUGUCAAUCUGGAGUGUUGGAGAGGUAAGCGGAAUUCCUGGUGUAGCGGUGAAAUGCGUAGAUAUCAGGAAGAACACCGGAGGCGAAGGCGGCUUACUGGACAAUAACUGACGUUGAGGCUCGAAAGCGUGGGAAGCAAACAGG
rnacentral:rRNA from 1 species